rnacentral:rRNA from 1 species
UGCCAGACUCCUACGGGAGGCAGCAGUGGGGAAUAUUGCACAAUGGGGGAAACCCUGAUGCAGCAACGCCGCGUGAGUGAAGAAGUAUUUCGGUAUGUAAAGCUCUAUCAGCAGGGAAGAAAAUGACGGUACCUGAGUAAGAAGCCCCGGCUAACUACGUGCCAGCAGCCGCGGUAAUACGUAGGGGGCAAGCGUUAUCCGGAUUUACUGGGUGUAAAGGGAGCGUAGACGGCGAUACAAGUCUGAAGUGAAAGCCCGGGGCUCAACCCCGGGACUGCAUUUGGAACUGUGUGGCUGGAGUGUCGGAGAGGCAGGCGGAAUUCCUAGUGUAGCGGUGAAAUGCGUAGAUAUUAGGAGGAACACCAGUGGCGAAGGCGGCCUGCUGGACGAUGACUGACGUUGAGGCUCGAAAGCGUGGGGAGCAAACAGGAUUAGAUACCCCUGUAUUG